GGAGGAAAGAACUAACAAGGAUUCCCCUAGUAACUGCGAGUGAAGCGGGAAAAGCUCAAAUUUAAAAUCUGGCGGUCUUCGGCCGUCCGAGUUGUAAUCUAGAGAAGUGUUAUCCGCGCUGGCCCGUGUACAAGUCUCCUGGAAUGGAGCGUCAUAGAGGGUGAGAAUCCCGUCUUUGACACGGACUACCAGGGCUUUGUGAUGCGCUCUCAAAGAGUCGAGUUGUUUGGGAAUGCAGCUCAAAAUGGGUGGUAAAUUCCAUCUAAAGCUAAAUAUUGGCGAGAGACCGAUAGCGAACAAGUACCGUGAGGGAAAGAUGAAAAGAACUUUGGAAAGAGAGUUAAACAGUACGUGAAAUUGCUGAAAGGGAAACGCUUGAAGUCAGUCGCGUUGGCCGGGGAUCAACCUUGCUUUUGCUGGGCGUACUUUCCGGUUGACGGGUCAGCAUCAAUUUUGACCAUUGGAUAAAGUCCAGCGGAAUGUGGCAUCUUCGGAUGUNUUAUAGCCCUUGGUCGCAUACAAUGGUUGGAAUUGAGGAACUCAGCACGCCGCAAGGCCGGGUACUUGUACCACGUUCGUGCUUAGGAUGCUGGCAUAAUGGCUUUAAUCGACCCGUCUUGAAACACGGACCAAGGAGUCUAACAUGCCUGCGAGUGUUUGGGUGACAAACUCGGACGCGCAAUGAAAGUGAAAGUUGAGAUCCCUGUCGUGGGGAGCAUCGACNCCCGGACCUGACCUUUUGUGACGGAUCCGCGGUAGAGCAUGUAUGUUGGGACCCGAAAGAUGGUGAACUAUGCCUGAAUAGGGUGAAGCCAGAGGAAACUCUGGUGGAGGCUCGUAGCGAUUCUGACGUGCAAAUCGAUCGUCAAAUUUGGGUAUAGGGGCGAAAGACUAAUCGAACCAUCUAGUANCNG
rnacentral:rRNA from 1 species